rnacentral:rRNA from 1 species
GACGAACGCUGGCGGCGUGCCUAACACAUGCAAGUCGAGCGGAAAGGCCCCUUCGGGGGUACUCGAGCGGCGAACGGGUGAGUAACACGUGGGUAAUCUACCCCUGACAUCGGGAUACUCCGGGGAAACCCGGCCUAAUACCGAAUAAGGUGCGGAGACGUCGGUCGCCGUACCAAAGGUAGCUUCGGCCUCCGGUCAGGGAUGAGCCCGCGGCCCAUUAGCUUGUUGGUGAGGUAACGGCUCACCAAGGCUACGAUGGGUAGCUGGUCUGAGAGGACGAUCAGCCACACUGGGACUGAGACACGGCCCAGACUCCUACGGGUGGCUG